UGGGGAAUAUUGGACAAUGGGCGCAAGCCUGAUCCAGCCAUGCCGCGUGAGUGAUGAAGGCCCUAGGGUUGUAAAGCUCUUUCACCGGUGAAGAUAAUGACGGUAACCGGAGAAGAAGCCCCGGCUAACUUCGUGCCAGCAGCCGCGGUAAUACGAAGGGGGCUAGCGUUGUUCGGAUUUACUGGGCGUAAAGCGCACGUAGGCGGACUAUUAAGUCAGGGGUGAAAUCCCGGGGCUCAACCCCGGAACUGCCUUUGAUACUGGUAGUCUUGAGUUCGAGAGAGGUGAGUGGAAUUCCGAGUGUAGAGGUGAAAUUCGUAGAUAUUCGGGGGAAAACCAGUGGCGAAGGCGGCUCACUGGCUCGAUACUGACGCUGAGGUGCGAAAGCGUGGGGAGCAAACAGG
rnacentral:rRNA from 1 species